AAAAUGUGCGAGCACUACAACAAGACUGCAAGGGAUCUACCUUCACUGCCACAGAAUCAGAGAGUGUACGUACAAGUUCACCCCCAGUGUAACAAAUGGACCCCAGCAACCGUUACCAAAACGCCAGUAGCGUCUCAACCGAGAUCGUACAGUGUCGAAACUACAAAUGGAGCCCAGUUAGUGAGAAAUCGUCGCUUCAUUCGUCCAGCUCAAGAGACUGUUCCGAUACCUGCCGAGAGUGUAAAGCGUGACCAGAGCACUAGCAGUGAACGACCAAGACGUGUGAUUACAAGACCUAAAAGACUUAUAGAAACAAUUUAAUUAGUUUCAGCAUUUCAGUUAAGGCCUUAAGCUAUUUUCGAUUAGAGGGGAGAUGUUACGUAAUCAGCUUGUGUGGUUCGAUUCAUUCUGUCACCUUUCAGGCAUAGUCAUAAUGUAGAGUGUUUGAUAAUUAGCAUGCAUUGUCCCGCAAGCCCAAAUACAUGCAGAGACGCUUCUGGAACUUUCUAUUAUUUACAUAAGCAUAAAAACUUGUAGGUUUAGCUCGAGAUUUCAUUCAUUGUCAGUGUGUGUGUAAGCAAUAAAACUUUUGCCAUCCGGAGUAGUUAACAUUUACGAUUCUUAAUUGGCUUGAAUUCAAGCUCUUCAUCCUCACUGGACCUUUUCUCAAUAGGAUGCCAGGAUCUGAAAACAAUGUUUCUGAAAUAAGACUCUGCUAAGAGGGUAGGUGCCAAAGAUCUUCAGAGAAAUCGAUUGUGGGAACAGAGGUGCACACCCAUGGCGAACUGUAACACUUCCCCUAAGAUGGCCGCCAAGAUCAAUGUUGGACCGGACAAACGUUGUAAUCAAAGACAAUCAUGGAGGUGUUAACACAAACUGAUCCGUGAACGACGACGCAUUAUCAUUCAAUUUCAAUCGAUACAUCAAUAUGUAUGGACAGAAAAUCGUGGAAAACGCACCGAAAAUGCUUCAAUUUUGCAAAAUUUCUUGGGCAGGGGGGCAUGCUCUAAGACCCCCUAAUUGAAUAAGCCUUACGGCGCCAUUUGCAACUGGACGGUUACUCUGACAGAACCCUAGCUUAAACCUUGAUUCACUGCAUGCCAAAAAUGAAUUUUAUUACAAGAGUAAUGAAUCAAUAAAAUUGAUAUUUCUCUAAGCAUCAAACCAAAAAAGCAAUGCAGCCCCAUUUUAGGCAAUUGCACUUGGAUGUGUCGGAUACUUGGUUAUGUUUCCCACCAGUAUAAUCUUGACAGGGAAGCCAAACGACUGUGUGAAAGUUAAAAUAUAUUUGUUUGAACUUGAAGCUUGUUCCAGGCAUUCAGAUUGUGGUGAGUGUAGGCGGUCCCAUCAUACACUGAAAGCACAGUCAGAGAUCACGUGGUCAGAAGCAUGCUCUCUUCGAAAAUAUGGCGGGUGUUGAAUGUGGUUUCUGGUUUCUUGCAAGAUAAAAAACAUACAAGUAACAGUUUAUUUGCUGAGACUUACAUGGAAAUAAAUCCCAUUUAAGCUUGUGAUGUCAGGGCUGAACAGGACCACAGAAGAGGCUUGAGUUCAAGGUCAACUUUCUCUCUACCAAUGGUGGUGCAGCUGUCAUAAAGUUUCUCACUAGGUGCAAAACAGAGAAGCAAAAAAGAGCUAUGUGCUGGGACCCAAGAGGAGAAAGAGACCUUGGAUCCCCUAGUAGAUACAAAACAGAGAAGAAACAAUAAAAGCUGAGCUGAGACUCCAGAGGAAAGGAUGGAUCUCUUAUUAGGCUGCCAUCUCAAAUGGACAUGAUUUGACAUCAACAUGGAGAAAGAAGCAAUGGAAAGCAACGAAUCGAAGAGUCAAAGAGCCUCGUUUAAAUAUUUCUUCAGUGGAUCACGUUUUAAAAGUAAGGUAGAUUUACGAGACAAAGUUUAUCUCGAUCGAGUUACUUGCGAAAGAUUGUUAGGGCGGAGCUGGAAUUAGUGAUUUCACAACGGAACCCAAGAGUCGAAAGAAGACAUUGGAAUUACUGUGAAAUUGUCUCGUAUCUUGCCAGUUUCCGAGGAAGCCGUGAAUUAUAUUUCAAGUUUGUAGCGUUAAACCGAAGGUAGAAUAAUAACAUUACCUGGUUUUGUUUUUCAACCAGAAUUUUCAUCCUGGAAGUCUCGUUAUUAAACUCGUUGAAAUCACCGUC